UACGUAGGGUGCGAGCGUUAAUCAGAAUUACUGGGCGUAAAGCGUGCGCAGGCGGUUAUGUAAGACAGUUGUGAAAUCCCCGGGCUCAACCUGGGAACUGCAUCUGUGACUGCAUAGCUAGAGUACGGUAGAGGGGGACGGAAUUCCGCGUGUAGCAGUGAAAUGCGUAGAUAUGCGGAGGAACACCGAUGGCGAAGGCAAUCCCCUGGACCUGUACUGACGCUCAUGCACGAAAGCGUGGGGAGCAAACAGG
rnacentral:rRNA from 1 species